GGCCAGGCAAGGUUAGGCAAAACAAUUUAAAUAAGUUUAAAAAAAAUGAGUGAUAGACUUCCAAAUUUGCAAUAGGUUUAAAUGUACAAAGGUUUCUUCAGUAUCAGGGCUACAUUUUGGUGUAAGUUGCACAUGGUUGAUUUGUUGUACAGCAGAUGGAAUGUGGCAUGGGACUGCAAAAUUUGGUGAUUAUUCGUGUAUGGGAAAUAUGAUUUCCACGGAAAAUGCAGGGUAAUAAUAGGUUCACGCAGCUGCUUCGGCUGCCUGGUCCCUGAAUAUUUACAAAACAACUCCAAAAAAUGCAAAAUGACGACAAUUAUUACAUUUGAGACAUGAAUGUUGAUAGUGUGGCUCUUGGUUUAGACAAUCAUGGUUUUGUGGCCCUCGCUGCUUUAGAAAGUAAUGCUUUUCGCCUGUUUUGACUCAUUUCGACGCUGUCAAACAUGUCUGAGUAGCAGCUACAGUGCAUGCAUCUAGCAAAUGGAACAUUGUAAUAAUAUGCUUUCUCAUUACUGUUGUCCCUGCCUUCAGUAUGUAUACGGUACAUUUAAGUGAGGGAUGUUGUGACGUCUUCCUGCAGACCGAGGACAGCAGAGGAACCAAUGCCCCCCCCCACAGCAGAUGCUUCCAACCAUCCAUCCCUGCCCUCAUUAUGCUUCCUCUCUCUGAUGUCAUCAAUCUAAGACUUCUUCCAAUCCAGGAAAGAGUUUGUGAUGAAGUGUUGUAAUUUACUUUCUUUGGCCCCUGGAAAAAAAUGUGCAAGUCUGCAUUUGUUUUAUUUACUGAAUUCCCCAACACAGCCCAGAACGCCUUUCAGCAAAUCCUGCAGAAGUGAGGAUGGAGGAAGUUUCUUUCAGUCGAAAAUGAUGGAGGACAGUGAAGCAGCAGUAACUCAUCAGAGACCCAUCCUCUUCCCAGUGCAUCUUAGUCUGGUUGUUUUUCUGCAUCUCUCCUCUGCUUAAAAGCAUACACGAUGGUGGAGCCCAUGAGACAAACAAAACAAUGCUGGAAACGUGUGGAAGCAGUUUUUUUUUUUUUUUAGCGUUAAACAUUUUCUUCAUGUAGGCUGCAUAUUUUUGUUUAUUUUUUGUUACCUGUUCUGCCUUAAUAAUUCAUGGAUCCAUGAGUAGUGCCGGU
rnacentral:lncRNA from 1 species